rnacentral:rRNA from 1 species
GACGAACGCUGGCGGCGUGCCUAAUACAUGCAAGUAGAACGCAGUUGCGAACGGGUGAGUAACGCGUAGGUAACUGCCUCAAAGCGGGGGAUAACUAUUGGAAACGAUAGCUAAUACCGCAUACUGUGAGAUGGACUUGCGUUGUAUUAGCUAGUUGGUGAGGUAAAGGACUACCAAGGCGACGAGACAUAGCCGACCUUGGAGGGGGAUUGGUCACACUGGGACUGGGGCCAGGCCCAGGCUACUCAGGGGUGCAGCAGGAGGGAAACGUCGGCAAGUGACCGAAAGCUGGCCGAGCAACGGCGGGUGAGUGGAUAAGGGUUUCAGACCCUAAAGCGCCGGUGUUAGGGGAGCGGUAACUAACCAGAAAGCGACGGCUAACUACGUGCCAGCAGCCGCGGUAAUAC